GCACUGCUUUUGAUCGUCUGCCUUGCCUGCGCUCGGCGCUGGGCGUCCUGCUGCAGCGCCAGAGUCUGCACAUGCGCAAAACCGCGGCCUUCCGACCCGCGGAAGCGGCCUUUUUAACCCAGAGCACCUGGG